rnacentral:rRNA from 1 species
UACGGGGGGGGGCAAGCGUUGUUCGGAAUUACUGGGCGUAAAGGGCCAGUAGGCGGCCAACUAAGUCGGAUGUGAAAUCCCCAGGCUCAACCUGGGAACUGCAUCCGAUACUGGAUGGCUUGAAUUCGGGAGAGGGAUGCAGAAUUCCAGGUGUAGCGGUGAAAUGCGUAGAUAUCUGGAGGAAUACUGGUGGCGAAGGCGGCAUCCUGGACCGACAUUGACGCUGAACGGCGAAAGCUAGGGGAGCGAAACGGG